AACGAACGCUGGCGGCGCGCCUAAUACAUGCAAGUCGAGCGAGAAGGUGUAGCAAUACACUUGUAAAGCGGCGAACGGGUGAGGAAUGCAUGGGUAACCUACCCUCGAGUGGGGAAUAACUAGCCGAAAGGUUAGCUAAUACCGCAUACGUUUCCGGAACUUCGGUUUCGGAAAGAAAGCAAUACCGUGGGUAUUGCGCUCCUGGAUGGGCUCAUGUCCUAUCAGCUUGUUGGUGAGGUAACGGCUCACCAAGGCUUCGACGGGUAGCUGGUCUGAGAGGACGAUCAGCCACACUGGCACUGCGACACGGGCCAGACUCCUACGGGAGGCAGCAGUAAGGAAUAUUGCGCAAUGGACGAAAGUCUGACGCAGCGACGCCGCGUGGGGGGAUGAAGGUCUUCGGAUUGGUAAACCCCUCUCGGGAGGGAAGAUGGAGUGGGUAACCACUUGGACGGUACCUCCAGAAGCAGCCACGGCUAACUUCGUGCCAGCAGCCGCGGUAAU
rnacentral:rRNA from 1 species